AUUGAACGCUGGCGGCAGGCCUAACACAUGCAAGUCGAGCGAGCGGCGGACGGGUGAGUAAUGUCUGGGAAACGGCCUGAUGGAGGGGGAUAACUACUGGAAACGGUAGCUAAUCCCGCAUCCCUUCGGAUGUGCCCAGAUGGGAUUGGCUAGUGGGUGGGGUAAUGGCGCACCUAGGCGACGAUCCCUAGCUGGUCUGAGAGGAUGACCAGCCACACUGGAACUGAGACACGGUCCAGACUCCUACGGGAGGCAGCAGUGGGGAAUAUUGCACAAUGGGCGAAAGCCUGAUGCAGCCAUGCCGCGUGUGUGAAGAAGGCCUUCGGGUUGUAAAGCACUUUCAGCGAGGAGGCGUUACUCGCAGAAGAAGCACCGGCUAACUCCGUGCCAGCCGCCGCGGUAAUAC
rnacentral:rRNA from 1 species